GAGUUUGUCGGUUGGUCGGGCUUCACUGUCCGCACUGGCCUGAUGGAUUCCUACCUUCUGAAUAACCAUGAUGUCAUUUAUUUGGUGUUGUGGGGAAUCAGGACUGUUACUUUGAAAAAAUUAGAGUGUUUAAAGCAGGCUCACGCUUGAAUACAUUAGCAUGGAAUAAUGAAAUAGGACGUUUGAUUCUAUUUUGUUGGUUUCUAGGAUCGACGUA
rnacentral:rRNA from 1 species